rnacentral:rRNA from 1 species
GAUGAACGCUGGCGGCGUGCCUAAUACAUGCAAGUCGAGCGAACAGACGAGGAGCUUGCUCCUUUGACGUUAGCGGCGGACGGGUGAGUAACACGUAGGUAACCUACCUAUAAGACUGGGAUAACUUCGGGAAACCGGAGCUAAUACCGGAUAAUAUUUCGAACCGCAUGGUUCGAUAGUGAAAGAUGGCUUUGCUAUCAAUCAUAGAUGGACCUGCGCCGUAUUAGCUAGUUGGUAAGGUAACGGCUUACCAAGGCAACGAUACGUAGCCGACCUGAGAGGGUGAUCGGCCACACUGGAACUGAGACACAGUCCAGACUCCUACGGGAGGCAGCAGUAGGGAAUCUUCCGCAAUGGGCGAAAGCCUGACGAAGCAACGCCGCGUGAGUGAUGAAGGUCUUCGGAUCGUAAAACGCUGUUAUUAGGGAAGAACAAACGUGUAAGUAACUGUGCACGUCUUGACGGUACCUAAUCAGAAAGCCACGGCUAACUACGUG